rnacentral:rRNA from 1 species
AGCGAACGCUGGCGGCAGGCCUAACACAUGCAAGUCGAACGACCCUUUCGUGGUUAGUUGCUGUCGCGUGUGUCACACGUGGGACCGUUCCUUUAUGUUCCGAAUUCUUCAUGUACACUUGUGCUAAUACCGAAUGUGCCCUUCUAGUACAAGAUUAAUCGUCUUUAGAGCGGCCGGCGUCGGAUUAGCUAUUUGGUUGAGGUAAUGGCUCAUCAAGGCGACGAUCAGUAGCUGGUCUGGGAGGAUGAGCAGCCACAUUGGUACGGAGACACAGCCCAAAAUAUUACGGGAGGGAGGAGUGGGGAAUCUUGCGAAAUGGGGGAAAGGCUGAAGGAGUCAUGGCGGGUGAAUGAUGAAGGUGUUAGGAAAGAAAAAUUCUUUAAUCGGGGACGAUAAUGACGGUACCCGGAGAAGAAGCCCCGGCUAACUUCGUG